UACAGAGGGUGCAAGCGUUGUUCGGAAUCAUUGGGCGUAAAGGGUGCGUAGGCGGCGCGGUAAGUCGGGUGUGAAAUCUCGGAGCUUAACUCCGAAACUGCAUUCGAUACUGCCGUGCUUGAGGACUGGAGAGGAGACUGGAAUUUACGGUGUAGCGGUGAAAUGCGUAGAUAUCGUAAGGAAGACCAGUGGCGAAGGCGGCUCACUGGCCCGAUACUGACGCUGAAGCACGAAAGCGUGGGGAGCAAACAGG
rnacentral:rRNA from 1 species